rnacentral:rRNA from 1 species
UACGUAGGGGGCGAGCGUUGUCCGGAUUUAUUGGGCGUAAAAGGCUUGUAGGUGGCCACGGCAAGUCGGAUGUGAAAUCUCCCGGCUCAACUGGGAGGGGUCAUUCGAUACUGCCGGGCUCGAGGCCGGUAGGGGGAAGCGGAAUUCCCGGUGUAGUGGUGGAAUGCGUAGAUAUCGGGAGGAACACCAGAGGCGAAGGCGGCUUCCUGGCCUGUUCUUGACGCUGAGGCGCGAAAGCUAGGGUAGCAAACGGG